rnacentral:lncRNA from 1 species
GGAGCCUACCUUUACUUAGCCUCACAACAUGGGCCUUAGCUUUAGCACUUAAUCUGCACAAAUACCUGGCUUAAGUGUUAUGACUGACUGGCUAUUCAACCAAACCAUACAAAUGACCAAUUCGGUAAGAAAGCAUGAACUUCAGUGUUGAACCAAAUCAACCAACCUCCUCAAUCCAAAUGAACAAUGCUAUUCUAGGAGUCUGUGCUAGAAUAAAAUCCUAAUGCAAAGGCUGUCUUAAAAUGCUGAACCCAGAAGAAUUUGGCAUAAAUAAGACAUGGAGUUAGCUGACAUGAGAUAUUACAUUUAUUCCACUGUUGACGAGGACAAAACUGGGCCGCUAUUGUCACAGGCUUGCAGAGCUCAAACCAUUACACCAUUCAGAAGCUGGCUUUGGUAUUACUUCAAGUUAUUCAAAACAGUCACCACUUGCUGAGCCUCUGAUGUCUCAUCUGUUGAAUGGGUACAUUUUCUUCCUGAUCCUUCCACCUCUAAACUUGUCUAUUUCCAAGGAUCUAUGGCAUCCAGGCAUAUGAUUUCAAGAGAGAAGGCUGAAAAGGAAGGUGACUGGAAUAUUAAGAACUGUGAGAUAUUCUGAGGAAACUCUAAUUUGUAAAUUGGUAGAAAUGCCAGUAAUUUGUUGGGAAUUGAAGACCCUCUGUAUUCAAGAGCGAAGCUUGGCAGCUGUGCACUGUUGUUUUAUAAAUCAAUAUUACA